UCUUCCUCCACCUUCUUCCACCAACCCCAGCGCCGCCCACCAGUGCCGCCCGCCCCCAACCACCUCCUACCCCACGUUCAGCGCCCCCACCUCCCACCCCGCGGCGGCGCCCCCAACCCCGGCCACCUCCCACCCCGCGGCGGCGCCCCAACCCCGGCCACCUCCCACCCUGCAGCGGCGCCCCACCCCCGGCCACCUCCCACCCCACGGCGGCGCCUCCAACCCCGGCCACCUCCCACCCUGCAGCGGCGCCCCAACCUCGGCCACCUCCCACCCCAUGGCGGCGCCCCCAACCCCGGUCACCUCCCACCAGUGCCUGAUGGAUAUGAGUUCUGCUUGUCCCCGCGGUGAUGGAUCCGAGCUCGCCGGUCCCCCACUGCAUGCCCCGCCACCGGAUCUAGGCGUCGCCAGGACGUGGCCACCCGUUGCUGGCAGGCCCUGGCUUCCUCCCCUCGCUGUGGGCGGUUGUGCUCUGGCCUCAAAAUCCUCCUGCCGGCUGCCUCGACGAGCUCCUCCCUCCCAACCCCGCCACUACUUCCUCCUCGACAUGGCCAGACCCCAUCCUCUUCCCCGGAUCUGGCAAAAGAAGGGGCGACGCUGGUGUUCACGGUGGCGGCCCAAGAAGCUCGAGAUGGAUCGAGCAGCGUCCAGUCGCCCAGUUGCUGGCCCCGGUCAACCACAGAGCCUUGCACGCUGGAUACAGCGGAUUUGGUUCUUCCACGCGCCGCCACUUGGUCCCUGAGCGCCCACAGGAGAUGGCUUCGGUUCUCCGCCAACCGACAAGCGAGGAGGGCGACGACACGAGCUCCUCCUCCGGCGAGGAUCCCAGCAACUACCCAGCCGCCCCAUGGCACUUGUCCUGGCAAGGAUGAGGGUCGAGGACGCCUAGAUGCGGGUUGCUGCCAGCAUCCUAGUUCCCUGGUGCAGUCCAUACUUUUUGCUGAUUGAACCUCAACAAGCUCCAAUCAGAAAUGUGGGCGAGGCCAGAGAGGACCGCAAUGACGAUAAGAAGCUACACCUGUGCUCGAUCAGAACUGCACAGAGGGGACAACGCCGCUGUGUAGUUCGAGCCACCGAGGGCGUGAAGUGCGUUCGGUGAGUGCAUGCGGUUCGGCGGGGCAUCGUUUCCUAUGGGAGCUGCCUCCCUGGUCCUCGUCGUCCUCUCCCAUGGUGGUGGCGUGGUGGGGCUACCUCUCUGGUCCUCCUCGUCGUCCUCUCCUACGGGGCCGCAUGCAGUCAACUACGUGCGGGCACGCAGCACGUAGGCACUCUCAUGCGCAGUCCACAGCAUGGGUUCAGCCCCCACAGCGGCAUGCAGCUCCGCCCACGGGCCUAUGCAGUACGCGAUGACGAGCUGGUUUCGGGGAGCAAAACCAUCAGCGUGUGGUUUGGUGUUUUUUUCUAAUGUUCACUACUCUCAUUCAUAUCACUUUCCUCUUCUUUUUGGAUGGAAAUGUUCAGUGCACUGAAGUUUUCUUCGGUGUGGACUGCAAAGCAAGGAUGAAGCAACACUCUACUUUGGGCAAAAUACGGCUCGCGUGCAGUCCUCUCCUCCGGCGACAUCUACCUUGGAUACGAGACAAGGUUCACAUGUUGUGUGUCUGCAGCUCGGCGCACAGCGAGUGCACUUCACUAUUAUUGGAUUUGUUGCUGUUGGGAAUGCGUUUAAUUAUUUGUUGAGAAAUUCAUUUUAAUAUGCAUGGAUGGUUCUUCAUGAAAAAAUGUUGUUCAUCUCA